GAUGAACGCUGGCGGCGUGCCUAACACAUGCAAGUCGAGCGGGGUUUUAUUAGAGCUUGCUUUAAUAAAACCAAGCGGCGGACGGGUGAGUAACGCGUGGGUAACCUGCCCUAUACACAGGGAUAACAUUAAGAAAUUGAUGCUAAUACCAGAUAAGCUAACAGCUAGGCAUCUAGUAGUUAGAAAAACUGAGGUGGUAUAGGAGGGGCCCGCGUCUGAUUAGCUAGUUGGUGGGGUAAAGGCCUACCAAGGCGACGAUCAGUAGCCGACCUGAGAGGGUGAUCGGCCACAUUGGAACUGAGACACGGUCCAAACUCCUACGGGAGGCAGCAGUGGGGAAUAUUGCACAAUGGGGGAAACCCUGAUGCAGCAACGCCGCGUGAAGGAAGAAGUAUUUCGGUAUGUAAACUUCUAUCGAUAGGGAAGAAAGAAAUGACGGUACCUAAAUAAGAAGCACCGGCUAAAUACGUGCCAGCAGCCGCGGUAAUACGUAUGGUGCAAGCGUUAUCCGGAUUUACUGGGUGUAAAGGGUGAGUAGGCGGUUAAGCAAGUCAUAUGUGAAAUUUUGGGGCUCAACCUCAGAGCUGCAUAAGAAACUGUUUGACUAGAGUACAGGAGAGGUAAGCGGAAUUCCUAGUGUAGCGGUGAAAUGCGUAGAUAUUAGGAAGAACACCGGUGGCGAAGGCGGCUUACUGGACUGAAACUGACGCUGAGUCACGAAAGCGUGGGGAGCGAACAGGAUUAGAUACCCUGGUAGUCCACGCCGUAAACGAUGAGUGCUAGGUGUUGGGGAGAGAUUCUCGGUGCCGCAGCAAACGCAAUAAGCACUCCACCUGGGGAGUACGACCGCAAGGUUGAAGCUCAAAGGAAUUGACGGGGACCCGCACAAGCGGUGGAGCAUGUGGUUUAAUUCGAAGCAACGCGAAGAACCUUACCUAAACUUGACAUACCAGUGACAGAUUAUGUAAUGUAAUUUUCCUUCGGGACAAUGGAUACAGGUGGUGCAUGGUUGUCGUCAGCUCGUGUCGUGAGAUGUUGGGUUAAGUCCCGCAACGAGCGCAACCCCUAUACUUAGUAGCCAGCAUUAAGGAUGGGCACUCUAGGUAGACUGCCGUGGAUAACACGGAGGAAGGUGGGGAUGACGUCAAAUCAUCAUGCCCCUUAUGUUUAGGGCUACACACGUGCUACAAUGGCUGUAACAAAGUGAGGCGAGAUAGUGAUAUGGAGCAAAGCACAGAAAAACAGUCCCAGUUCGGAUUGUAGUCUGCAACUCGACUACAUGAAGAUGGAAUCGCUAGUAAUCGCGAAUCAGAAUGUCGCGGUGAAUACGUUCCCGGGUCU
rnacentral:rRNA from 1 species